rnacentral:sRNA from 1 species
CCAGCAAAAAGGGUUGUCUCUUCAUUCUGUUGAUGUGCAGAAGAUUUUUAGCUUGAGGUAGUCGAUAGAGACAGCUGGCAAGAUGGCCGAAUAGGAAGAGCUCUGGUCUGCAGCUCCCAGCGAGAGCAAUGCGGAAGCCCUGUGGCCAUGGGAGACCUGGCAUCCAAGGCAUACCACGAGGGAGCUUCACCUGGAUGGAGACUGGCUCUUCCCCCAUCCUGGCAGCCUGCCUGGCAGUGCAAUGGAGCCAGGGGUGGGGCUGCAGUAUGAUACCAGCACUUCAGGAACCAUGGGUUUCAGGAGAGAUACCAGAAGAUGUGAUGCUGGUGGAUGGCAAUGGGCACCUCAAGUCCCUCGUCACAAUCAGUGGAGACAUGGUCGGGCGAUGAUAAUGGUUUCCUGCCAUUUCAGAAGACAUAUGGUUUGGGCGAAGAUUUAUUCUCAGAUGGUGUUUGCUCCAGCUUGCCAUCACUGACACCUGCGCUGCCUUCGCUCCCACCUUCCCUGUUUACUGUGUACUACGUUUCUUGGCAGGUUUUUCUUCCAUGAUCAUUAUAUCAAAUAAUUCUUUGCUCAUUACUGAGUGGAUAAGGCCCAACUCUAAAGCCCUGGUAGUAAUAUUGUCAUCUGGUGCCCUUAGUAUUGGACAGAUAAUCCUGGGAGGCUUGGCUUAUGUCUUCCGAGAUUGGCAAACCCUGCACGUGGUGGCGUCUGUACCUUUCUUUGUCUUCUUUCUUCUUUCAAGGUGGCUGGUGGAAUCUGCUCGGUGGUUGAUAAUCACCAAUAAACUAGAUGAGGGCUUAAAGGCACUUAGAAAAGUUGCACGCACAAAUGGAAUAAAGAAUGCUGAAGAAACCCUGAACAUAGAGGUUGUAAGAUCCACCAUGCAGGAGGAGCUGGAUGCAGCACAGACCAAAACUACUGUGUGUGACUUGUUCCGCAACCCCAGUAUGCGUAAAAGGAUCUGUAUCCUGGUAUUUUUGAGGUGACUGGAAGCACCUGCUCAAUGGCUGCUCAUCAACAACAAACCAGAGGAGGGCUUAAAAGAACUCAGAAAAGCUGCAUGCUGGAAUAGAAUGGAGAAUGCUGGAGACACCCUAACCAUGGAGAGAAGUAAAAAAGCACCUCACCUUUGAGUCGCCAAAAUUAUGCUUCCUGGAAUGACCGCAUACCAUGUAGCAGAUUUAUUUUAGUUUGUUUACAG